UACGUAGGGUGCGAGCGUUGUCCGGAAUUAUUGGGCGUAAAGAGCUUGUAGGCGGUUUGUCGCGUCUGCGUGUGAAAUCUCAAGGCUCAACCUUGAGCUUGCAGUGGGUACGGGCAGACUAGAGUGUGGUAGGGGAGACUGGAAUUCCGUGGGUGAUAGCGGUGAAAUGCGCAGAUAUCAGGAGGAACACCGAUCGGCGAAGGCAGGUCUCUGGGCCACUACUGACGUGGAGAAGCGAA
rnacentral:rRNA from 1 species